GGGCCCCAACUAGGGCCUCACCACAGUGGAGUAGAGAAGCAGAAUCCCCUCCCUCGGCCUGCUGGUCACUCUGCUUUUUUACAGCCCACAUUACAGCUGGCUCUCUGGGUUGCAAGUGCACAUUGCCAGGUCAUGUUGAGCUUGUUGAACAACCACAACACUUUCUCCUCAGGACUGCUCUCAGCCCAUUCUCUGCCCAAACUGUGCUUGUACUCAGGAUUGCCCAGACCCAGGCUCAGGACUUUGCACUUGGCCUUGCUGAAAUCCGUAGGGUUCAGAAGUCUGUCAAGGCUCAUAUGGAUAGCAUUCCCUCCAAUGUGUCAACCCCACCACACAGCUUGGUGUGGAAACCUGCUAAGUCUGUGCUCAAUCCCACUGUCUGUGUUCAUAUUUCACUGCUCUCCCAAAGGCACAGGUUCAGAGCUGUCCAGUCCCGGGAAAGGAGAAUGAAUACUUUGGGCCACCUGGCCUUCAACAGAAUCAACUUGUUCAUCUAUCUUACCAUGCAGAUAAACUUUCAUCGCACUCUUCAUCAUCUUGUUUAAACACAAGCUUGGUAAAACCCAUCUCCCUUUUAAUACAUUAUUCAUUUUACUCCUUUUCUCAUUAAAAUUCCUGUUCAGUGCUCAAACACCAGCAGUCAGUGUCAUUGUCAAAUGUGUCCUUAAAGUCCCAAUAAAUUAGGAUUAGUGACAUUGUUGUUUGGAAACAAGGAUAUUAAUAGAGUGCUCCAGUGGAAACCCAGAGAAGCAGCCAAGGGAAGGGUGAUGGGUGAGACAGCAUCAUCCCCACUUUGCCAAAAGGGACUUCUCCUCUGCCACUCAUGAUGGCCACCAGCUCUGAAAUCCAGCCACAGAGAACGUACCAACUGGCCCACAAGAGCAAACUCCUGCACCAGCCCAGAUACGCUGUGUCACAGAGAAAGAUAAAAAAUGAACCUUUAGUGAGAGCUGGAAGUGAUGGUUUACAGCAGCUAGGCAAUGCUGUAUCCAACUGCCUCUAUUAGGAGCUGGCUCGAAGGGGUAUUUCAACAUCUCAUGGCAAAUGGAGCCUUCUCUCAUCCACAUGUGGGAGUGCUCACUCCCCCGUGUACUUCAGUGUUGUGGUGAUGAGUCAAGGGAGGGUUGAUGGAUGGGUGUUUGAAUCAGCUGGGUAGCACACACUGACUAGCAAAGCAUGUGGAGACCAAAUGUUUAUUUUUCAUGUACAGCAGCAUAAAUCCUGAGCACCCAUCCCUUCCACAAAGGGGAGCAGCCUGUCUUUCAAAGCAUACUGUGACCCUCCACACCACCUGCCCUUCUGCCCAGAUUGCUGAAUUUGCCAUUUAGCCCAUGAAGCUGGCUGAUAGGCCUCAUGCAUGGAGGGUGUUUUUGGGCAGAAGCAGAGCUGCUGGCUGUAGAGACACAGCAAAGGGAGAAAUUGUCAGCAGUCUCAGUGAGCACUCAGGAUGCUGAGGGAUUGGAAAGUAAAGCUUUGGCUCUGAAUUUUAAAAGGUUGCUGCUGCAUUUGCCAUAAGAUAUUUGGCUCAAGAGAGUAAAUCAAGGGGUUAAGUUUACCUGGAAAUAAAGCAUCUUCCCUUCCUUCUCUUUCUCUUGUCCCUUCACUAAUGUGAGGAGAUACUUGCAAAUCAAGCACUUAUCGUGCUCAUUGUACUUUUUUGGGUGAAUUAGAAUCACUUUUUCUAAGACACCAGCCUGGAGCCUGGAGUGUUUCAGACUUUUGUACUUUUCCUUCCCAAAACACUGUUCUGAGAUUACCAGCAUCACACAGAGUGACCCAAGGGAGACCUAAGGAGUUCCCUUCAGAAGGUGUUUUCUUCACACCUAUGGAAACACGUAGGAGAAGACCACAAAAUACCCUGUGUGCAGACACGAGCCUUACUUGUGUAGCUGGGGAAAGGUGUGGUUAGGGCAGUCGUAAAUAAACCUCCGAUCUUCCCUAGACACAUCUCGGGGAAUGUGUGUGUGUUUUGGCAGGAGGGAAGAAGAACAGAGGGCAAGUCUCACAGCCACAGGUAGCAACCAAGGUAUCUGCCAUCUUGCUCUUCCUCAGAUCUAUCACUGUAAAUAGCUUGGCUUGCCUUCACCCCCUUUUUUCCUCUGCUUUCUAAAACUCUGCAACUCACACAAAAACAUGCAACCCUAAUUGGCACUGUCACUUCCAGCUGACAGAUCUCCCAUAAAACACACCCAGCAAUAAAAAAUGUAAUCCCUUUUCCCUCCCCCACACAAAGUUCAAUUAAAUAAGACAAGAAAGACUCCAGUGGAUGACUGUAGGCAGACUGCAAUUUGCUGGAUUUAUGAAAAAAUGUUGUAAUCUUGCCAAUACUUUGAUGAGGACCACUUUGUGCUAACAAAAUGAGAUGGUAUUUACUCACUGGAAAAUAUUAAAUCCCACUGAACUAAUGGGUGGGUUUCGAGGCUGCCCUAGGUGCUUCUCCAUGAAGCCCAUUACAAUUUACCAGCAAACAAGCAACUCCUACCCACUCUCCCAAGCCUUGUGUUUUUGACAAGCACUCCUGAUGGUUUGCUUUACUUUCCAUUUCCACCACUGGAAACUGCCACUGUAUUAGGGACUCCACAUGCAUUUUCUCUCCCCUGUGCAACUUCAUGAAGGUUUGCUGAUGUCUCUGUGGUAAAGCCUGCUCAGAUCCAAACUGAGGAGGAUCAGGGAAUGCAAAAGGAGCUUCCCCUUCUAGCCAGACCCCUCUACCCUUUAGUGUGGUGGACAUCUUCAAGGGGUGAUUCAGUUUGGAGCUCUGUCCCAUGUCCUCAGCCCUUCCAACGAAAGCCUCAGGUGGGAGACAAGAGUUAAAAACAAGUUUUCUCAUUACCUCCUGAUCCCACAAUAUUUCAUCCCUCUUCUGCCCCUCUCUGGCCAGGAGACUGAUGUGUGAAGGUGACAGAGGAAAGGAGCAGCAGUAAUGCAGCGGCCAGGGGUGAGCAGGGAGGCAGGGAGCAGGCACAGGCAGAGGGGCAGCUGGCUGAGGUAAGUGGGCUGGUAACACAGCCACUAUCUGGAGCCUUCCCAAGGGAAACCACAACCAGAUGUGCUUCUGUCUUUGCAGCAGGACUUGGAGGAGAGAACUCAGGGGGAUCCUUUGAUUCCCCGACACAGGUGGAGUGAGUGGACUAGGUUGUCUCAGCAGGUGGAAUGGGAGGAGGAAAGAGUAAUACUUAUCCUGAAGGUGAAUGGAAGCAAAUUUCCCCCUUGACCUCUGACAGAGGGCUGAGAUGCAGUCAUGACCAAGCUGUGAAAGGAAAUAUAAGCAAAGCAUGGGAGGUGUCCCAAAUUUUUGGAUUUGAAUUUUGUCACCAGCACCUCUUGCGAGAGAAAUGAGGGCUUGGAUGGUGGCAGAAGUGGUCUGUGGGGAGGCAGGGCUGGUGAAUUGGGCUCUUCAACACCCAAAGCCAAGUUUCCAGAAGCAACACGGUAAUGAUUUUGACAGCAUCAAGAGUGAGACACUCUUCCUUACUUCUUGGGUGGCUGUUUCCCUGUAGCAAGGAGGGAGUGAAAAGCACUCUGUGAUAAGGAGAUGAAGGGCAGGCUUGGUGAGGAGCAGGAGGAGAAGAGGGGGGAGGAUAGUAGGGAGAGAAUUUGGACCGUAAUCCUCACUGCCACUUCACCGUUGUGCUGCUCCCCAAGUCCCACCUUUUUUCCCCUACCCCAACAAGACACAUCCCUGCUCUACUCCCAUUGCCAGACAGAACCCUGCAGGGUUCAGACAUCACAGCCAUCCCAUCAGGAGGGACAUGGGUCCCAGCCACAUGUUCAAGCACAAGGAUUUGUGUGCCUGCAGGUACUCUUUUGUGCACAGGCAGUUGCAAGUGGAGGGAAAAGUCAGCGUCAGCCUUUCCCAGGCUCUGCACUGUGUCUCCUUUCUCUGGCCACUCUGCCAGAGAGGAGGCGAGGUAGGCAGCCAGGAACGCAGGCUAUGAGUGGAGGCGGAGGAGGUGGCGGCUCCGGACUGAGAUGCUGGCUUGUGCUGUGGGUCUUGGUGGUGAUAGAUCAGUGUGGGAUGCCAGAGCCAGAGUGCCUGUGGGGGAAGCUUGUACUGUCUGGCGCUGCUUAGAUGUUCUCUCAUCUUUGAUAGAAACAACUGAACUUGCAAACUUGUUUCCCACAAGAAAGGCCCUCAGUGUUCACAAGGGAACAGAUUAGGGAUUGUCCUAAAACCUCACGGUGGCCAGGGAAGUGGGGAAAGCCAAGUGCCAGAUGAUUUCCUUGGAAUGCAACAAACCUCACAGUGAGAUAAGAGCAACAAUUGCUUUCCCUCCAGCCCUCGCUCCGAUCUCAUACCCAGGACCUCUCAGGAUCUUCAGCUCUGGGUAAGUGCUUAACAGCAAGGCCAAAACAGAAGUGAAUCCUAAUGAACUCUGGGCUUAAUAAGUCCAGAGUGACUUAUUAAGAGAUGAAGGGCAACAGGCUGAGCAGAGGAGGUGAGGUGCCCCUAUGCCAUAUUCUCCACUUGCACAUCACUCCUCUCUAGGCAUGGUGGGACAGUGUUGGUCAGCUCUAGAUAUUGGGGAAAUCACCAGGCAAAAUACUGAGCUCUCUCUGUUUUAACCAUUGAGGAAAAAAAAAGACUAGAUUCCCUGCUUAGCCCCAGCACAUGAAUUUGGAUGUCACAUUCCUCUCAGGCAUCUGUUGAGGUAAUACUGAUCACAGACACAUGAAAGGCUUGGUGAAUCUUCCUUUCUUCUUCCUUUGUCUGCUGCAUGAUUUUAUUUGCAUUGACUUUGCCCUUAAAAAUGGUCCGUGAUGUCUCCAGGAUGUGCCACCACACUGACAUUCAAAGGUGAGUGCAAAGUGUAGCCCUGUGACUGACAGCUGCAGGCUGCCUGCACACCAAAGAGAAACACCCCACAUUACACUCAGUUCCCAGUUUAGAAGAUAGGUCUUGGCCCAUGAGAGAUAGAAACAUAACUUUAAAAAAUGCAUUUUUGUAUGUUUUACAUGGGAUUGCUAUAGCCCAUGCAAGAUUAAAACCUUUUUUCCAUACAUAGAAGUAACACUCAUUACCAGAAGGGCUUCACAAGCAAUGGUGAUGCCAAGUGAGUGGAAGAAACACUUCUUUCCUAAUUAUUACUCUGCAAAUGAGUCAGAAAGACCUGAGGGGUAGUUUUUGUUAGAGGAACAGCCUGAACUUCUGAAUGCUAAGGAAAGGAAAGUUUUCCCUGUGGUUACCACAAGACAUUCAAAGAGCCAUUCUCCUUGUGGCUUUUAGCCCUUACAACUCCGACAGUCUCAUCUUCACAUCAUCAACCAUGGUGAGGAUUAUUAAUCCUCAUCACAGCAUAAAACAACAGGCUGGUCCCUGUCAUGAGAAACUUGACAGUGUAAGGCAAAAGGUUUCCAAAGGCCACGGGCAGAUGCAGCAGCACAAAGUAGCCAUGACCAAUGCAGUGGUCACCUUUGAACGCUGCUGGUGUCCUGCAGAGCUUGUGAUCCACCCCAGAAGCAGCUGCAUUUCAGCUGAAAGACAAGAGCUGCCUACAAAACCACUACACAGAGGCCUGGGGGUGAAACUCCCACUGACCAUAUCACAGCUAUUACAGCCCAUGACUCCUGAUAGCGCCGAUGGUGGGUUUUAGAUUAAUUUGCCGUCAUUUCAUCAUUUAUACUAAAUGCCAUGGUUCUUUGAUAAACAUUUCAGGCCUUUUUCCAAACAAUUUUUCCAUUCGGAGCUGAUGAAAACAGGCUGUCAGCACUCCUGGUAGAAACACCCUGCUCAUGGCAGCAGUGGCUGUCUGGCCUAGUGGUCUCCCUGGAGAAAGUCCAAGUAGGAAGGCAGUCUCAAGGCUCCAUUCCUGGAGCUAAUUGGGUCUGGGAGGAAGGCGACCACUGUGUCAAGAAAGUCAUGAUACUCUUUCCCUCUGAGGGACUUGGGGCAUAACAAAGAGCAGAUUUUGUCAAUCCAGAAGCAGGACCAGCAAGCUUCAACCCAGAAAUGAGGAGGAUAGUAUGAGCCCCCAGUACUGGGGAAAGGGAACCAUUUUUUCAGGACAACACACAGGUUGUCUUCCAGAUGUUGGCACUAACUGCCUUUCAUCUCCCUCGCUCCCUCCCUUACAGGUCAGCUGAGAGAUGACUGGGGGCUUCCUCCUGGGCAAUGUCCUCCAAAUAGUCUUACUUCUGCAUCCAUCACACAGAGGUAACAGCCUGAGAGAACUCUGAACCUGGAGCCAAGUGCUGCACAGCUAGAGUCCACCUCUCUCUGUGGGAGGACAUCAGUCCUAGAAUUAUGGUCUUAUUCUGCUUUUUCACACUGUACCAGGAUAAGGUAGGGCCCAUGGGACCUUCUGGGUUCGUGAUCUACACCACAAUUGGAAAAAUACCUCUGAGGGGCAGGUGCCUCAUAAGGCAUUCCAGGUGAAGACAAGCACACUCUGUUGAUUUCUGCAUGGGUCCUGACCAUAAACAGUCCUUCAGAAUCUCUUAUCAGUGCCUCCAAAGUUUGUCCUUAUAGCUGAGUUCAUUGUGGCAAUACUAAAAGGCAAACCUUAACUAGAUACACAGAGCAGGAGGGAGAGAAUGACAGUCUGUAUGUUGAGUUAUGAGACUCUGGCAGUUUCUUUUUAGAGUAUUUAUUAGGAUAUUGUCCAAAGAGUCCUUCACUGUUUAUGACACACCAUAAAUACCGUCUCCCCUCACCUCCCGAAACAGUGAGCUGUUCUUUGCUGCAAUGUUGUUUGCAGGUCAUCUUGAUAACCUGCCCACAGGAGGAAAUGACAAAAAUAGAUCUCCCUGCUUAAAAAAUCUCUUUAUUUCCACUAAGCGCCAAUAUUUUGCCUCUAUUGAUGUAAUCAAACACCACAUUGACAGCGUGUGAAAAGUCUGAAAUAAAGACUCUUAAUCUGGAAAUCAGCACCUGGAAGUGUGUAAUCAAGGCUAGCUGAAGCAAGAAGACAGCAGAGCUUGAAUGCAAUAUACUGAGGCAUUGUUCAAGACAUCCAGCUUUGUGGAGGGCCCAUGACAUGGGCAGAAGAUAAGUGCUAUACAAGAUAGUUGCUAUACAGAGAGAUAUGUAAAUAAUAGGGGUUUUUUUCCUGGCUACACUCCCUUUUCUGAUCUGGACUUCCACUAUAGGUGGAUUUUGAGAUCUUUUGUUGGAUCCCCAUUGCUUCACACAUGCUGAUAAACGGAUCCCCAUUGCUACACACAUGCUCCAUAAAUGUCAGAAGCUUCUGCAGUGUAUGCUUAGAUCAAUCAGACCGUGUGUAAGAAGUUCAGUGUAAACUUCGUGAGGGUGGCAAUAACAAAAGUCCUGCAAUUUCUGGGGAGAUAUUAUGCAUGAGCAUUAUACUCAAAACAACUGGAACUUAGUAGCUUUUUUUUUUAAUCUGCAUUUGUCAGCAGAGUGUGCUUGUUCAGACACAGCUCACAAGCAUAACUUCAAUUCUAAGCUUUUAUUUAUAUAGACAGGAAAAAGUAGCCAGAGAAUUCAUAGAUAACAACAACUUGUUUGCAGAGGUUGAAGAAACACACAGCCAGGCCAAAAAGAAGGGGCAAAUGUUCAGGCAAAAGUAUGACUUAUCCUUGAAGCAACUAAAUUGUAGUUGAUGAUACAACCUCCAGCACAGGGGAUAUUUUGCUGAGUAUGAGGUGUCUUUUCCCACUUGGUACACUGAAAAAGGGUUGAAUUCAUGGAAAUUCUCAGCUCUCAGUGUUUCAGAACUAAGCAAUUAAAGUUGUCCCUUCCAACUUUAUAACUGGUGAACCCAAGACCCUUGGAGAACAACACCUACCUGGGAUCAUAUGGAAGGUCAGCAGUACACAGCUAAAGUAUCCAGUUAAAGGAGAUCAGCUCUUUAAUGUUAACUAAUCCCAGUGGACAGCUGACAAAUGAGGCUAUUUAAAGAACUCUUUACUGUCAUUAUUCCAAUUUGAAGAACAAAUUGUUUUGAAAAGUUCAGAAUUGCUUCACAGCUGAUCAGAGCUGAGGAAAACGACAGAAAAGGUCAGAUGACAUAUUGUGGACUAGUUUCCCUUCUUUGCAACUGUCUAAUCAACUUGGUUUAAUUAAAGAACACAGCCCCCUCCAAGCUGAGACUGACACAGAAAAAUCUGUAGGCAAUUUGGAUACAACAAAAACAUAACAUCUCACAGAAAUCCCUGAUGUCCCCAUAUUGUUUGCAUGGGGACUAAGUUGUUCCAUACACACAAGUCCUUGUUUAGAUUGUUUGCUGCCAUCCUCAAGAGAAGAUAUUGCAGUGGAAGGGGAGUAUAAGCUAACACACUCUAAACCAUUCCUUAGUCUCUUAGCUUUAUGUCACGGUAAGUAAUGAGUUUGGUACUACAUCAUGGCAAUGUUAUGACAGAAAGCAAAGCCCUUCUGACCCCGAAUUAAUCCUGUCUUCUCUGAGAGCUUUGUUUCAGGCUUCACUGGGGACAUGUGUGUGUAACUUUAGAUGAUAUCUGAAGGCAUUUCAGAUGUUAGCCAAAAAUGUGCUUUAUAUUAUAUUGGAUGUUGCUGCUCCUUUCCAUCCAAAAUAAUUUUGGUGAAGGUGGGUAAAUCUCAGGUGGGAAAUCCCUUGACAUCCCCUGAUUCUCAGCAUAACAAAGUAUGAACCAUUAUCAAAAAUGUCACUACUGCAUGACCUGUAUCUGCUGAAGUGUAGAGAGCUCUGUUUAGGAUUAUUAUAGACACUUAAACUAGAAACAGAGAGUCAAAGGCAAUCAGACAUUGCAGGAAAGGGCUGGAUAUCUCAGAUCAAGCACAGAAGAACAACCCAGUUUACACCUCUGGAUCUCAGAAAUUAGAAAUUAAAGAAGUCUGUGGGGUAUUUAAGCAAAGCACAUGAUGUGUUAACAUCUACAGAAAGGUUUCCAUGCUGAUUCAUAGAAGAAAAAUGUUCUGUUCCCUGUUGAUCUAUAAUAUUUCUUCAGACCAUUGUGUCAGACAGUUUGUGUCUAUCAGCCUUCUCUUCCACCUGUAUUGUUUCUGUCCCUCUCAGGAUGCCUGAGUCUUUUGUCCAUUAUUUGGCCAGUAAGUAGUUGAUGCUUGGUUUAUUUUAAUUUUUAGUUCUAUCUAGUUUCAACUUUGAAUCAAUACGGAGGAAACAGAGUGCUUAGGGGAGAGUUUCUUUGCAUUCUACAGGACAACUUGUGUUCAGUAUUAGAGUAGGACUAGAAACUCCCCAAAUAUUAAUGUAUACACCAGCUGGCAGAGAAGGGAGUUGGGAAACAAGGAGUUAAUGUUGAGCAGCAGUGAGACCACUGGUGUAUUCUGGGGUCUCCAGGUGCAGGGCUGUAGCAGCUGAAGUGAGCAGGUAAUUAUCCCAGGAUCUCAUAAAAUAGGCGGGCCAGACUGUUAUUGUGCUUUUUUAUUUGAUUGGGGGUGGAGAAGUCUUGAUCUUUGGACUCUUAAAAAAAAAAAAAAAAAAAAAAACCCACCCAAAAACACAAAGAAAUCAAUCAAAAAACCCCUCCCAUUUGAUUUGGACCAAGCCCAGACUGAAGAAAACCUUUGAACCCUGAGUGUCAUGUAGGAACCCUUAAGUGUCUUCUCUGUUUGGCAGUUCUGGUAAAGCUCCACUCAAGUGCUUCCUCAAUGAUAGCGAGGGAGGAAUGGAUGGCAAUACAAGGAGCCAUAAGACAACUAGAAAUUCUUAUUACUGCUCUUGCAGCAGAGAUGAACACAAGAGAGAGGUUUGAAUCCCAUGGCAGUGAGUUCAGGGCUAGCAAAAUCAACUGAAGCUUCAUGAAUUGAGACAGUCUCUGGGGAACCUCUGAUUUCCAUGUUCUUGGCUGUCUUAAGAUUCCUUACAUAAGUGUAAGAAGAGAAGCAUAAAUUCCAACAAGGGGCAAUUGUUUGUCAUUUUUCCCUGCUUUGAGUCAGUUUCAUGUGUCCUCAUCUCUGCUGCUUUCCUGGAACAGCUGAAUUCUUGUGAGCUGCUCAAAUGUUGCUCUGUUGGAUGGCUUGGUGUGUCCUGUCCUAUCCUGUCCUGUCCAUGCAAUGGCACAGCUCUAUCUCACCUCGGGCAGACAAACUGGCAUCCUGCUGGCUUUCAGCUCCCUCUGCAGUCAACAAAAAGAGAAACCCUUGGAGGGUUACCCAGGUCACCAAGGCACUGCCAGAAGGUCCUGGUCUCUCCCCAUUGACUGAACAGGGAGCUCAUCUUGUCUGUGCUCCUGGGCUAGGCAGCUCAGUUAGCAGCUGUAAUUUAGGGAGAUCAUGAUGGAAGGGGUGUAAAUGAGCAGGGAGCAGCUGAGAGAGGAAGUACUUCUGUCAAAGGAAUGAGGUAUGCUGAGUAGAGACUAGAAAGGUAGUUAUGUCUCUGUUAGGGUUCAAGAAGAGGGACGACAUUUUCUAAUACCUUGGUUCCCUCGCUGCAAGAUAGAAGGCAGAAAGAGCAGCCACCAGAGAACAUGAGGUAAUUGGGAUAAGAACAGGGGAUGGUUCUCAGCUUCAGCACAGUUUGUGGGGCUCUAACUUGCCCCAGGAACAGGAACAUGAAGAGAAAGCAUUUGUAUGUACGUUUUUCACAAACUGUUGGGCUCUGUUGGUGCAGCAAAGCUUCCCCCUCCACAGAGGGGUUGUGUACUGAACAAACAAGGCUGCCUCUGCCACUAAUGUUGCCUUCUUGCACCUCUAUCCUUGCUCCCACAUCCCAACAAAUGAACAAGUGCUUUAGUGCAAUGCAGACAAGGGGCUUCUGGAGUGCUCAAAGGUGCUAUUUUGUGAGGGGAAAUACAAAAAUAUUGUCUUGGAACUUGUAGCCAUUCACCUUUUUUUGUCAAAAAAACUAGUCUUUGUGUCUCCUGGCUCCUGCUUGUAUGUUGCUUUCCUUAGCUCUCCCAGCAAACCCUACAGAUCAGAGUAUUUUCCACCCAGAACCAGUUUGUACUAUUGCUGUUUUCCAUCAGGUGGCUAUUUCAGUAGCAACAGUUCCCUAGAGUCCACAAGGAGACUGACAGAAAUAUUAAGCAUUUGUGACUGCUGAUGACUUGAAAAACAAUAAUGCUCUCAAACCAUCUUUUCCUUUAAUACUUGGGCAUUUCUCUUCACAAGGCUAGGUAAGCAUAUCAUACAAUGGAAUGCAAUUUGGCUUUGGUUUUAGGGGAUUUUCCCCAUGUUUGUGGUGCAAUUUUUACUGUUUAGUGUUCACAAGGUCAGUUACACUAAUUCCUUUCCACUGUUCUAUUUCCAUCCCUUCCUAAGGUAUCUCCCAUGGUCCAAAAAAAAAAAAAGCAUGACAUGAACCAAGCAGCACUGAAGGAGCUAACCAAAGGAGGGGAAUCCCAGAGCCAGGCCCAACUGUAAGCCACAACCCAAAGCAAGGACUAAGCUGUGGCUGGAGAUAUUUCACUCCAGAUGACAGCAUUAGAGACUCUAUCCAUGCUACAGUUCAACACAUGGCUCUUCCCCCAAGAGUGAGCUCUCUAGCAUUGAACAAAGCCACACCAGAAGCAGGGGGUAAAGGCCUACCCCAAGGAGGGCCAGAAUAGCUGCCAAGCUGGCAUUUACAGCCAUCGCUUCAUCCAGCCCUGGAAGUGCAGCUACCUCGAGGAUGUAACAUAACAGCUGUCCCUUCACCAUCCAACAAUAAUAAACAAUGGGAAGCAGAAUGGGCUUUCAAGAUGGCUGAGUCUCCUGAGGAUCUAGCCCACCACAUUAUCACUGCUCCUCCUUUUCCCCAGCUGGAAACAAGUCUGGAAAUCAUGAGACCUAAAACAAAAUAAAAUUAAAUGAAUUUAUGGUGUCAGAGCUUUAGUAUUAAUAGCAAAUAUCUGUGGUGCUGGUGCCCUCUCUGGAGGGUGUUCCAGUGUAUGUCCCACUGCCCAUUUCACCACCCUGGGCUUCCUUCUGUGC